GGCAGGGUGCUGGACUGGCCUGAGCAUUUAGAAGGUCCUAGAGGAAAGUGGCCUUGAUUUGCCUUUGCCAUUCUUUAAUCACUAUUUUUUUUCCCAAGUGACUUCCUUGUAGGAAGGUUGGAGCAUAUGUAGGCUUUCCCUUGCCUUUAGCUUUGACUCCUAUUCAUCAAUCUUUAUUUAUUACAAUCUGUAACUUUGGAUGAUGUAACUUACAGAGCUCUCUUCAUAAUAAUCCACCCAGCACCUGACAAUGUCUUUCCACCCAUUCUUUCUGGUCUAGCCCCUUUAAAGAAUUCCUGUUUUCAGAUUCCUCCUCCCCCACCUCAGUGGGUGUAAAUCUGGAACCAGGGAAGAGAGUUGCCAAGAGACUAGACCAAGAUUUAAAAACAAAACCAAGCAGAUUCCCCAGGCCAGUCAUCAGGCCAUGAUUAAAAUCUGUUCCUCACUGAUGAUCAGUCCCAUGAUUUGAAACACCAGUUGAAGUGCUACACGGGAAUUAAUGCAUUUACAAUGUAAAGAAGUACUCAUCCAGGGACGUGAAACUAUUUUCUGUGUGCAGUACCAAAGGAAAGCCUAUAUGGAUAUCUCAUGGUACCUCAGACUCCGAGACACUGAAGUAUUUCAAAGCUUCUCAGAGAUGCCCAGAGAAAAUCCUUAAUGCAGAACUAAAGGAAAGUUAAUCUGAAUUCCAAGCAUUCCAGAUGUAACAGAAAGAAGGCAUGCUUCUGAAUCAGAGAGUCCUAGGGCUUCCAACAGUAUGCUGAAUGGAAGUAGAAAAAGUGAGUUUUCCAGCUGACCUGAACAAAGGGGAGCUCAUGGACCCCAGACUGAUAGCUGGGAAACCAGCAUAGGACUGACCGAGACCCCCUGAACAUUGGUGUCAGUGAGUAGGCCUGGGCAAUCUAUGAGGCCUCCGGUAGUGGAUCAGUAUUUAUCCCUAGUACACGAAUGGACUUUGGGAGCCCACUCCACAUAGAGCUCUCUCAGCCUAGACACAGGGGGGAGGGCCUAUGCCCUGCUCCAAAUGAUAUGACAGACUUUGAAGAUUCCCCAAUGGAAGGCCUCACCCUCCCUGUGGAGCAGAAAAGGGGAUGGGAUAGUGGGUUGAUG
rnacentral:lncRNA from 1 species